UACGUAGGGGGCUAGCGUUGUCCGGAUUUAUUGGGCGUAAAGAGCGUGUAGGCGGCUUGGCAAGUCCGCUGUGAAAACUCGAGGCUCAACCUCGAGACGUCGGUGGAAACUGCCUGGCUAGAGUCCGGAAGAGGAGAGUGGAAUUCCUGGUGUAGCGGUGAAAUGCGCAGAUAUCAGGAAGAACACCCGUGGCUAAGGCGGCUCUCUAGUACGGUACUGACGCUGAGACGCGAAAGCGUGGGGAGCGAACAGG
rnacentral:rRNA from 1 species